rnacentral:rRNA from 1 species
UUGAAGAGUUUGAUCAUGGCUCAGAUUGAACGCUGGCGGCAGGCCUAACACAUGCAAGUCGAGCGGUAACACAGGGAGCUUGCUCCUCGGUGACGAGCGGCGGACGGGUGAGUAAUGUCUGGGAAACUGCCUGAUGGAGGGGGAUAACUACUGGAAACGGUAGCUAAUACCGCAUAACGUCGCAAGACCAAAGAGGGGGACCUUCGGGCCUCUUGCCAUCAGAUGUGCCCAGAUGGGAUUAGCUAGUAGGUGGGGUAACGGCUCACCUAGGCGACGAUCCCUAGCUGGUCUGAGAGGAUGACCAGCCACACUGGAACUGAGACACGGUCCAGACUCCUACGGGAGGCAGCAGUGGGGAAUAUUGCACAAUGGGCGCAAGCCUGAUGCAGCCAUGCCGCGUGUAUGAAGAAGGCCUUCGGGUUGUAAAGUACUUUCAGCGGGGAGGAAGGCGAUAAGGUUAAUAACCUUGUCGAUUGACGUUACCCGCAGAAGAAGCACCGGCUAACUCCGUGCCAGCAGCCGCGGUAAUACGGAGGGUGCAAGCGUUAAUCGGAAUUACUGGGCGUAAAGCGCACGCAGGCGGUCUGUCAAGUCGGAUGUGAAAUCCCCGGGCUCAACCUGGGAACUGCAUUCGAAACUGGCAGGCUAGAGUCUUGUAGAGGGGGGUAGAAUUCCAGGUGUAGCGGUGAAAUGCGUAGAGAUCUGGAGGAAUACCGGUGGCGAAGGCGGCCCCCUGGACAAAGACUGACGCUCAGGUGCGAAAGCGUGGGGAGCAAACAGGAUUAGAUACCCUGGUAGUCCACGCCGUAAACGAUGUCGACUUGGAGGUUGUGCCCUUGAGGCGUGGCUUCCGGAGCUAACGCGUUAAGUCGACCGCCUGGGGAGUACGGCCGCAAGGUUAAAACUCAAAUGAAUUGACGGGGGCCCGCACAAGCGGUGGAGCAUGUGGUUUAAUUCGAUGCAACGCGAAGAACCUUACCUACUCUUGACAUCCAGAGAACUUUCCAGAGAUGGAUUGGUGCCUUCGGGAACUCUGAGACAGGUGCUGCAUGGCUGUCGUCAGCUCGUGUUGUGAAAUGUUGGGUUAAGUCCCGCAACGAGCGCAACCCUUAUCCUUUGUUGCCAGCGGUCCGGCCGGGAACUCAAAGGAGACUGCCAGUGAUAAACUGGAGGAAGGUGGGGAUGACGUCAAGUCAUCAUGGCCCUUACGAGUAGGGCUACACACGUGCUACAAUGGCGCAUACAAAGAGAAGCGACCUCGCGAGAGCAAGCGGACCUCAUAAAGUGCGUCGUAGUCCGGAUUGGAGUCUGCAACUCGACUCCAUGAAGUCGGAAUCGCUAGUAAUCGUAGAUCAGAAUGCUACGGUGAAUACGUUCCCGGGCCUUGUACACACCGCCCGUCACACCAUGGGAGUGGGUUGCAAAAGAAGUAGGUAGCUUAACCUUCGGGAGGGCGCUUACCACUUUGUGAUUCAUGACUGGGGUGAAGUCGUAACAAGGUAACCGUAGGGGAACCUGCGGUUGGAUCACCUCCUU